UUAUGGCUCAGAACGAACGCUGGCGGGCAGGCUUAACACAUGCAAGUUGAGCGGGAUUCAAGGUAGCUUGCAUUUGGAUGAGAGCAGCGCGACUGGUGAGUAACACGUGGGAACAUGCCUUUUGGUGGGGGACAACAGAUGGAAACGUCUGCUAAUACCGCAUAAGCCCUGAGGGGGAAAGAUUAAUUGCCGAAAGAUUGGCCCGCGGAAGAUUAGGUAGUAGGUGGGGUAACGGCCUACCUAGCCGACGAUCUAUAGCUGGUCUGAGAGGACGAUCAGCCACAUUGGAACUGAGACACGGUCCAGACUCCUACGGGAGGCAGCAGUGAGGAAUAUUGGGCAAUGGAGGCAACUCUGACCCAAGCCAUGCCGCGUGAGUGAAGAAGGUUUUCGGAUUGUAAAGCUCUUUCAGACGGGAAGAUGAUGACGGUACCGUCAGAAGAAGCACCGGCUAACUUCGUGCCAGCAGCGGC
rnacentral:rRNA from 1 species